UAUUCCAGAUAAUGAAAGAAUCAAAUUGAUAGCAUUAGAGUAUCAUCAUUAUAUAAACAUCUAAGUGAUGAAGCUAGGUAAUAAUCAUCAGUGACUGCUGACAUCACAAAAGGAGGUACAAACAUUCACUGAAGGCCUCCUGAUGGAAGAACACACAGCACCUUCUGAAGUAGUCUUGCCAAAAAAUUGAAGCCUCUCAAUUUAAAUACCAGUUUACAGGAAAUAUAGGGCACAGAAAACCAUAUACAUAAUGAAAUAUGUUCAAAGGAAAUCUUGAAUUCACUUCAAAAAGAGGAAGAACAGAGGUAAACCCAGGGUACCUGAGGAGAAUGAGAGCAGAAGUCCCUUCCAUCCUAUAGCACAAACGAUCUCUCUACCUCUCUUCCCCAAAUUUAAAGCAAUUCUAUAUAUUCAACAGCAACUGUGGGACUGGGGCCAUGUUGAGAGAGGGGAAUGGGUGAAGUAUGACUUGAAGAGAAAGGGGUGCUGACUUUGGAAAGAAGUGAAGUUUGCAAUACUAAAAGCAAAAGGAACUAUACAAAAUACAUUACUCUACUUGAUAAAGUU